rnacentral:lncRNA from 1 species
CACGCUCGGAUGAAGACGUCGGCAGUUGAUGAUGGACUACUAGCCAAGCCAUAGGGGCAUGGCUGGGUCAGCCGCCUACUCACUAAUACAACGGUAUACUCGUAUGAGCACGCGCCGAGCUGCAGUCUGUCCAGUGACAAGACAGCUAGCGCGUCAAGCACGCGCUGAACUAGGCAAUAAAAGAGAAAUUGUUAUUCUCACAAAGGUACACACAACCUUGCUAUCAGAACAUACAUACACUUUCUUUCUCUAGAUUUUCGG